rnacentral:lncRNA from 1 species
UUUAUUGACUAUUCGUGGUGCUAAAAAAAUUUCUAUUUUUGUGUAGUGACAGAGCUGUCUUGGAAGAAAACAGAUGAGGAAUCUUGAAAACUAUCUUUUGGCACUUUUGAUGAAGAGAAAGAAAGAGAAAGAGUUUGUCCAAGUUGCCAAAAUCACAGAAACUGGCUUUAGCCUGAAGCAAUUUUAAGGAUACACAUGUGCACUGUGGAAGUGAAGAGCAGGAGUACGCUGAAACUGUUUUUCUGGAGAAGCGGGCUGAGGGCUGAGCAAUCUUCACUGCUGUGUGGACAUCUACUUCUUUCAAUUCUGAGCUCAGUAUCGCCUUCCCGGUACUACAGAAGUCACAGCUGUUCUGGAGAAAUACAAACUUUAUUUUGGAAUGGGAAGAUUGAGAUUUUUCAGUAAAUAUAUGAAGAAAGAAUUAUGACUUGCCUGGAAGCAGCGACCUCAGACAAGCUUCUGGGAGAAUCCUCAAUAGCAGAUCUCAACGGU